GUGCCAGCAGCCGCGGUAAUACAGAGGUCCCAAGCGUUGUUCGGAUUCACUGGGCGUAAAGGGUGCGUAGGCGGCCGGGUAAGUCUGAUGUGAAAUCCCGCAGCUUAACUGCGGAACUGCAUCGGAUACUCUCCGGCUAGAGGAAUGGAGGGGAGACUGGAAUUCUCGGUGUAGCAGUGAAAUGCGUAGAUAUCGAGAGGAACACCAGUGGCGAAGGCGAGUCUCUGGACAUUUCCUAACGCUGAGGCACGAAAGCCAGGGGAGCAAACGGGAUUAGAUACCCUAGUAGUCC
rnacentral:rRNA from 1 species